UCGGGAAUUUUGGGCAAUGGGCGAAAGCCUGACCCAGCAACGCCGCGUGAGUGAUGAAGGCCUUCGGGUCGUAAAGCUCUGUCGGAGGGAACGAAUGCUCUUGAGGUUAACAGCCUCGGGAGGUGACGGUACCCUCAAAGGAAGCACCGGCUAACUCUGUGCCAGCAGCCGCGGUAAUACAGAGGGUGCAAGCGUUGUUCGGAAUUACUGGGCGUAAAGGGCGCGUAGGCGGCCCUCUAAGUCAGACGUGAAAUCCCCCGGCUUAACCUGGGAACUGCGUCUGAUACUGGAGGGCUUGAGUAUGGGAGAGGGAUGUAGAAUUCCAGGUGUAGCGGUGAAAUGCGUAGAUAUCUGGAGGAAUACCGGUGGCGAAGGCGGCAUCCUGGACCAUUACUGACGCUGAGGCGCGAAAGCUAGGGGAG
rnacentral:rRNA from 1 species